rnacentral:rRNA from 1 species
AGAUUGAACGCUGGCGGCAUGCCUAACACAUGCAAGUCGAACGAGGCCGCAAGGCCUAGUGGCGGACGGGUGAGUAACACGUGACCAACCAACCCCGAAGUUGGGAAUAGCUCUGCGAAAGUAGAGGUAAUACCGAAUGUGGUCCAGGGCGGACAUCCGCUCUGGUCUAAAGAUUUAUCGCUUCGAGACGGGGUCGCGGCCUAUUAGCUUGUUGGUGGGGUAACGGCCUACCAAGGCGAUGAUGGGUAGCUGGUCUGAGAGGACGACCAGCCACACUGGGACUGAGACACGGCCCAGACUCCUACGGGAGGCAGC